ACACGACUCAUUCACAAAUGAGGGCAAUAUAUAGUUUUAGGGUAUAAUAAUAUAGUGGGCUCAUGGACCAACUAAUGAUUAAAGGGGGCGGAACACUAAUUGAGCCAUCCAAGAAGUAAAUGGGUCGUAAGUAACAUUAACUAUAUUAAGUUGCUUCAAACGACCCUCAAGUUAUUUUUUGGGUUGAGCCAAUUAAUCGAGUGUGUUAAUAAAUAUUUCAAUCAUCGGCCAAAGCCUAUAAAAUCUAAUCCGACUAUCCGACACUGUUUAACAUCAUCGCCCGGGAUUAUUGGGUAUUAAAAACCCAACAAUCUCCACCUUGAUACCCAAUAAUCUGCAAGUAACCAAAACACAAAGUUUAAACUUGCACAAUCAAGGUAAUCCAAUAAACUUGGUAUCUCAGACCUUACCUCGUGUUUCGAACCAAAACACACACCAUACCUGUUCUAUGUACUCACCGGGGUUAAGGUCCAAAAAACACCCAGGUAGAAGCUAGUACUUACAGUGAACAACUAUUCAUGCGAUAAAGAUAUUAUAUAGGAUACAUCACACAGAUCUUUUCAAAAUUCACGUUCACACAGAAUUAAAAGAUUAACACCAAGUUUAUCAGCACACGGUCAAACACAUAUGCAACAAAUGCAUAAAUGACCUCAUGAAAGAUCUCACCACACUUAUCCUAUCCCAUUUCGUAUUACUCCC
rnacentral:lncRNA from 1 species